ACCUUAGUAGAGCUGAGAGGGAGAGAGAGAAUGCUGGGUGAAAUAUGUGCAGGGCACAUGUCCUACAGUGGAGGUGUUUGAGAACCAGGUGAGAUGCUAGGGGGACAGAGAGACUCCUUUACAGUGGAGGUGUUUGAGAACCAGGUGAGAUGCUAGGGGGACAGAGAGACUCCUUUAUAGUGGAGGUGUUUGAGAACCAGGUGAGAUGCCAGGGGGACAGAGAGACUCCUUUACAGUGGAGGUGUUUGAGAACCAGGUGAGAUGCUAGGGGGACAGAGAGACUCAUUUAUCAUACUUGAGUAAAAGUAAAGAUACCCUAAUAGAAAAUGACUGAAGUAAAACUGAAAGUCACCCAGUAAAAUCUUACUUGAGUAAA
ensembl:lncRNA